UUCACCACAGAUAGUUCAGUUGGGAGGGCAUGAGAUUCUUAAUCCUAGGUUCAUGGGUUCAAACCCCACAUUGGGCGAAA